rnacentral:rRNA from 1 species
UACGGAGGAUGCAAGCGUUAUCCGGAUUUAUUGGGUUUAAAGGGAGCGCAGACGGGUCGUUAAGUCAGCUGUGAAAGUUUGGGGCUCAACCUUAAAAUUGCAGUUGAUACUGGCGUCCUUGAGUGCGGUUGAGGUGUGCGGAAUUCGUGGUGUAGCGGUGAAAUGCUUAGAUAUCACGAAGAACUCCGAUUGCGAAGGCAGCACACUAAGCCGUAACUGACGUUCAUGCUCGAAAGUGUGGGUAUCAAACAGGAUUAGAUACCCUGGUAGGCUGACUGACU